rnacentral:rRNA from 1 species
UUAAGUAAGAAAGGGCGUACGGUGGAUGCCUAGGCACUUGAAACUGAAGAAGGACGCAACAAACGGCGAAACGCGGCGGGGAGCUGUACGUAAGCAAAGAUCCGCCGGUAUCCGAAUGGGGGAACCCGGCAUGCGUAAUAGCAUGUCAUCCGCAGAUGAAUACAUAGUCUGCGAGAGAGGUACCCGGGGAACUGAAACAUCUAAGUACCCGGAGGAAAAGAAAACAACAGUGAUUCCCUGAGUAGCGGCGAGCGAAAGGGGAGGAGCCCAAACCAGACCGAGGUCUGGGGUUGAAGGACCGCGAUACGGCAAGAAUCAUGGUAGGAGAACGGCAUUGAAAGGCCGACCGGAGAGGGUGCAAGUCCCGUAUCCGAAACCGUGAGGAAGCCCAGCGGGAUCCUGAGUACGGCGAGACACGAGAAAUCUUGUCGGAAGCAGGCGGGACCAUCCGUCAAGGCUAAAUAUAAGCAAGUGACCGAUAGUGAACCAGUACCGUGAGGGAAAGGUGAAAAGAACCGCGGGAGCGGAGUGAAAUAGAACCUGAAACCGUAUGCUUACAAGAAGUCAGAGCACGUUAAGGUGUGAUGGCGUGCCUUUUGUAGAAUGAACCGGCGAGUUAUGUUAUCGUGCGAGGUUAAGCAGGAGAUGCGGAGCCGAAGCGAAAGCGAGUCUUAAUAGGGCGGCAGUACGAUGACAUAGACCCGAAACCGUGUGAUCUAGCCAUGACCAGGUUGAAGUUCAGGUGAAACUGAAUGGAGGACCGAACCGACCCCCGUUGAAAAGUUGGCGGAUGAGUUGUGGCUAGGGGAGAAAUUCCAAUCGAACACGGAUAUAGCUGGUUCUCCCCGAAAUAGCUUUAGGGCUAGCGUCGAGGAUGAGUCUUGUGGAGGUAGAGCACUGAAUGUACGAUGGCCCCAUCCCGGGGUACUGAGUAUAAUCAAACUCCGAAUGCCAUGAGAUAUUCCCGGCAGUCAGACCGUGGGUGAUAAGGUCCAUGGUCAAAAGGGAAACAGCCCAGACCGCCAGUUAAGGUCCCAAAAUGUAUGCUAAGUGGAAAAGGAUGUGGGGAUGCACAGACAACUAGGAGGUUGGCUCAGAAGCAGCCAUCCUUCAAAGAGUGCGUAACAGCUCACUAGUCGAGUGACCCUGCGCCGAAAAUGUACCGGGGCUAAGCAUACUACCGAAGCUGCGGAUUUGUAGUAAUACAAGUGGUAGGGGAGCGUUCCAUGCACGUGGAAGCCAUACCGAAAGGAGUGGUGGAGAGCAUGGAAGUGAGAAUGCCGGUGUGAGUAGCGAGAUGCAGGUGAGAAUCCUGCACACCGAUAGCCCAAGGAUUCCAGGGGAAGGUUCGUCCGCCCUGGGUAAGUCGGGACCUAAGGCGAGGCCGAAAGGCGUAGUCGAUGGAAAACAGGCAGAUAUUCCUGUACCCGCGAUGGAAAUGAAGGAAUGACGGAGAAGGCUAGCAUGAGCCACUUAUUGGAUUGUGGUCGAAGCGAAUAGCAGGUGCAUAGUCAAAUGCGUGCACGGGAUGUAAAACGUGACAGGUAAGCGAAACCCCUGGGGAGUAGCGAAGCAUGCGAGGCCAGCUUCCAGGAAAAGUUUCUAGUGCUGAUUCCAUAGCGGCCCGUACCAAAACCGACACAGGUGGGCAAGGAGAGUAUCCUGAGGUGAGCGAGAGAACUGUUGCCAAGGAACUCGGCAAAAUGACUCCGUAAGUUAGCGAGAAGGAGUGCUUAUGAAAGUAAGCCGCAGUGAAGAGGCCCAAGCGACUGUUUAACUAAAACACAGCUCUCUGCGAAGUCGCAAGACGAAGUAUAGGGGGUGACGCCUGCCCGGUGCUGGAAGGUUAAGAGGAUUUGUCAGUUUCGACGAAGCAAUGAAUUGAAGCCCCAGUGAACGGCGGCCGUAACUAUAACGGUCCUAAGGUAGCGAAAUUCCUUGUCAGGUAAGUUCUGACCCG